rnacentral:rRNA from 1 species
GCAGCACGAAAAAGCUUGCUUUUUUGGUGGCGACCGGCGCACGGGUGCGUAACGCGUAUGCAACCUACCCUGUACUGGAGGAUAGCCCGAAGAAAUUCGGAUUAAUACUCCAUAGUAAUACAAUUUCGCAUGUUAUUGUAUUUAAAGAUUACGGUACAGGAUGGGCAUGCGUCCCAUUAGCUAGAUGGUAAGGUAACGGCUUACCAUGGCAACGAUGGGUAGGGGGCCUGAGAGGGUGAUCCCCCACACUGGUACUGAGACACGGACCAGACUCCUACGGGAGGCAGCAGUGAGGAAUAUUGGUCAAUGGAGGCAACUCUGAACCAGCCAUGCCGCGUGCAGGAAGAAUGUCCUAUGGAUUGUAAACUGCUUUUAUUUGGGAAUAAACCUCUCCACGUGUGGAGGGCUGAAUGUACCAAAUGAAUAAGCACCGGCUAACUCCGUGCCAGCAGCCGC